GAUCUCUGACUGCUAUUGUUUGUGCUAUAGGUGCUGUGACAGAUUAAAUAGAGUCAGUGUCAGUGAUGGAGGGAGAUUCUGUCACGCUACACACUAAUAUUGUGAUACAGACAGAUGAUUUCAUUGCGUGGAGAUAUGGAGCUCAACUCGAUCUCAUAGCAACACUUAACCGUGAAGCAAAUAAGAUUUCAUUAUAUAAUGACAAUGGUGAGACAUUUACUGACAGACUGAAGCUAAACGAUCAGACUGGAGAUCUCACCACCAUAGACGCCACAUCUGAACUCGAUGGAGUUUAUCAACUAGAGAUCACUGAAAAGAAGGUUACGACAAAGACAAUCAGUUUUAGUGUGGUUGGUGAUGCGGAUGAAAUGAAGUCAGUGUCAGUGAUGGAGGGAGAUUCUGUCACUCUGUACGCUGACAUUCCUGAUAUCAAGAAAUUUGAUGUGAUAUGCUGGAGGUUUCAAGCUCUUUUCUAGCUGAACUUAACAGAAAUAGUUCUGUCUACCCUAAAUAUGAUGUUUCUGAUGGAAGAUUCACAGACAGACUGCAGAUGUCGUCACUGACCAGAUCUCUGACCAUCACAAACAUCAGAAUCAAACACUCUGGACUUUAUGAAGUCGAUAUCAGCAGCCGAACACACACCAUACACCGGUCAUACACAGUUACUGUCAGUGGGAUGCAGGUGAAGUGAAGUCAGUGACAGUGAUGGAGGGAGAUUCUGUCACUCUACACACUGAUCUUACUCAGACAGAUGAUAAGCUUGAGUGGAUGUUCUUGAAGGGAGAUUCAGAGACAGACUGCAGGUGGAUGAUCAGACUGGAUCUCUCACCAUCACAAACAUUAAAACUGUUCUUUCUGGCCUUAUGAACUAAGGAUUAUCUACAGAAGACUAUCUAUUCAAAGAAGAUUCAUUAUGACUGUCGGUGGUGAGCUACUCAUGUGUGUGCAAAGUCUAAAUCAGCAUAUGAAGGAAUAAUUGAAUUCUAUAUAGAGGAAAGGCGGCAAAAUUACCUUAUUGUCAUUCAAUAAAUGAGGAAUGUAUAGAAUAAAUGUGAAUAUUAAUUAUGCAGUUUUCUCUUAAAGACUUUAGAAAUAUUCACAUGACGU